rnacentral:lncRNA from 1 species
UGGGGCCUGAGCUCUGGACCCAGAAUAUAAAGAAUCUUUAUCUUUCAGCCACCUCAUCCUGACAGUGACAGGAGAACUGCCAGUCAGGGGAGGCAAAAAGGGACAGAGUGAGAGAGAAGCGAGAAGGCAGAAUGCAAAGGGAGAGAUCUGGUGACAAUGUCCUGGCAUCCUGGCACUCCAACAUGGCACGGUCUUGUUAUAUGAACAGAUUCCACAUGAAAGUGAGGUCAUGCAGCAUUUGUCCUUCUGCGCCUGGAUUAUUUCACUUAAUCCCUCUGGAUUCAUCCAUGUUGC